rnacentral:rRNA from 1 species
AGCCUUACUAUCAUUUUUUACUUAACUUACACAUGCAAGUAUCCGCACACCAGUGAAAACACCCACCUAACCAACAGGAAUAAGGAGCCGGUAUCAGGCAAAGCCAACGACACCUAGCCACGCCACACCCACAAGGGCCUCAGCAGUGAUAAAUAUUGACCAUGAGCGACCAGCUCGAACCAGUUAAAGUAAUUAGAGCCGGCUAAUCCAGUGCCAGCCGCCGCGGUUACACUGUUGACUCAAAUUGAUAGAAUCGGCGUUAAGAGUGAUAAAAGCACUAAAAAUUAGAACUAAACCAUAACCAAGUUGUGACACACUUGUUCUUGAGAACCACUAAACGAAAGUUUUUCUAAUUAUCCGCUUGACCCCACGAUAUCUGGGAAACAAACUAGGAUUAGAUACCCUACUAUGCCCAGCCGUAAAAUAUUAACUUACACCUAAACC